AAUUUGUUUACAGUAGGUGCAAACUUAUGAUAAAUAGAUUAUAGACCUAUAAUAAUAGAAUGAACUAUAUAUAGUUCACAGAAAUUAUCUCAAAACACAAAGAAUCCUUUGCUUACGCAUAUAAGACAACCUAGGUUUUUGAAGUAGUGAAAAAUGAAUGAAAACCUAAUCUUAUACCUACCUGAGAAAGUCUCCCAUUACAUUUUCUCAAAGGCAGCAUGACACUUUCUCGUGAUCUUCUGGAUGGCCGAUAUCAUCCAUGAAUAUCGCCAGAGACAGCCGAAAAAAGUCAGUCGUCUGUCCCUCUGUCAAAGGAAAUCUGCACCGAUUACUCCAGGAAUAUCGUCGACCAGUGCCCAUUUGGAUACCUUGUGCCAUUGGAUACAUUGUGCUAGUGGAUAUUAUAGUGGAACUAAUCACCAUCGGAACUAUUCUCAAUCAACGAGAGCUCCAUUGGGAGAUCACCUUUUAUCACCAGGCUUGCACACUAGACAGAUAUGAAAAUUCAAAUGUUCAAAAUAAUUUGAAUUUUAUUCCUGAGGAAGUUCAUUCAAAUGGCCAAAAACGUUUGAUUAGUUAAUAAAAAGCUGCA